CUACGGGUGGCAGCAGUGAGGAAUAUUGCACAAUGGGGGGAACCCUGAUGCAGCAACGCCGCGUGGAGGAUGACGCAUUUCGGUGUGUAAACUCCUUUUAUAUGUCAAGAAAAUGACGGUAGCAUAUGAAUAAGCACCGGCUAACUCCGUGCCAGCAGCCGCGGUAAUAGGGAGGGUGCAAGCGUUACUCGGAAUCACUGGGCGUAAAGGACGCGUAGGCGGGUUGGAAAGUCAGGUGUGAAAUCCUACAGCUUAACUGUAGAACUGCACUUGAAACUUCUAAUCUAGAGUAUGGGAGGGGGAGAUGGAAUUAGUGGUGUAGGGGUAAAAUCCGUAGAUAUCACUAGGAAUACCUAAAGCGAAGGCGAUCUCCUGGAACAUUACUGACGCUAAGGCGUGAAAGCGUGGGGAGCAAACAGGAUUAGAUACCCUAGUAGUC
rnacentral:rRNA from 1 species